rnacentral:rRNA from 1 species
UACGGAGGGUGCAAGCGUUGUUCGGAAUCAUUGGGCGUAAAGCGCGUGUAGGCGGCUUGGCAAGUCAGUUGUGAAAGCCCGGGGCCCAACCCCGGAACUGCAUCUGAAACUGCCUGGCUAGAGUCCCGGAGAGGAAGGCAGAAUUCCCGGUGUAGGGGUGAAAUCCGUAGAUAUCGGGAGGAAUACCAGCGGCGAAGGCGGCCUUCUGGACGGUGACUGACGCUGAGACGCGAAAGCGUGGGGAGCGAACAGG